GACGAACGCUGGCGGCGUGCUUAACACAUGCAAGUCGAACGGAAAGGCCCUGCUUUUGUGGGGUGCUCGAGCGGCGAACGGGUGAGUAACACGUGAGUAACCUGCCCUUGACUUUGGGAUAACUUCAGGAAACUGGGGCUAAUACCGGAUAGGAGCUCCUGCUGCAUGGUGGGGGUUGGAAAGUUUCGGCGGUUGGGGAUGGACUCGCGGCUUAUCAGCUUGUUGGUGGGGUAGUGGCUUACCAAGGCUUUGACGGGUAGCCGGCCUGAGAGGGUGACCGGCCACAUUGGGACUGAGAUACGGCCCAGACUCCUACGGGAGGCAGCAGUGGGGAAUAUUGCACAAUGGGCGGAAGCCUGAUGCAGCAACGCCGCGUGCGGGAUGACGGCCUUCGGGUUGGAAACCGCUUUCGCCUGUGACGAAGCGUGAGUGACGGUAAUGGGUAAAGAAGCACCGGCUAACUACGUGC
rnacentral:rRNA from 1 species